rnacentral:rRNA from 1 species
UACGAAGGGGGCUAGCGUUGUUCGGAAUUACUGGGCGUAAAGCGCUCGUAGGCGGAUAUUUAAGUCGGGGGUGAAAUCCCAGGGCUCAACCCUGGAACUGCCUUCGAUACUGGGUAUCUAGAGGUCGAGAGAGGUAAGCGGAAUUCCGAGUGUAGAGGUGAAAUUCGUAGAUAUUCGGAAGAACACCAGUGGCGAAGGCGGCUUACUGGCUCGAUACUGACGCUGAGGAGCGAAAGCGUGGGGAGCAAUC